rnacentral:rRNA from 1 species
GGAGUUUGGGCCGUGUCUCAGUCCCAAUGUGGCCGGUCACCCUCUCAGGUCGGCUACUGAUCGUCGCCUUGGUGAGCCGUUACCUCACCAACUAGCUAAUCAGACGCGGGUCCAUCUUAUACCGAGAAAUCUUUUCACACUGCAUCAUGCGAUGCUGUGCGCUUAUGCGGUAUUAGCAGUCGUUUCCAACUGUUGUCCCCCUGUACAAGGUAGGUUACCCACGCGUUACUCACCCGUCCGCCACUCAGUCAAUAAUCCGUCACCCCGAAGGGAUCGUAGAAAACUGCUUCGUUCGACUUGCAUGUGUUAAGCACGCCGCCAGCGUUCAUC